GACUCACUGGUCUAGCGGUUAUGAUUUCUGUCUAACACACAGAAGGUUCCUGGUUCGAUUCCAGGGUGAGUCA
rfam:Fomitiporia mediterranea MF3/22 unplaced genomic scaffold FOMMEscaffold_7, whole genome shotgun sequence.